ensembl:snRNA U6 U6 spliceosomal RNA
UUGCUUCAGCAGCACAUAGACUAAAAUUGGAAUGAUACAGAGAUUAGCAUGGCCCCUGUGCAUCUAUGACAUGUAAAUUUGUAAUGUGUUCCAUAUUAAA